rnacentral:tRNA from 1 species
GGGGGUAUAGCUCCGUGGUUAAGUGCAUGCUUGGCAUGCACGAGGUCCUGGAUUCCAUCCCCAGUGCCUCCA